AACGCACAUUGCGCUCUAUGGUAUUCCGUGGAGCAUGCUUGUUUGAGAACCGUGAUCACCUCUCAAACCCACUCUCAUCCGCAAGGAUGAAGAGAAGGGUUUGGACUUUGAGCGUUCUGUUGUUUGCACUGUGUGCGCAACAGUUGUCUCCAAAGGUAUCGCCUUUGGUUUCACACGAAAGUGUGAGUGAAAACGAGGCCUCUUUGUCGCCAAGACGUGAUGAGCAUGAUCUCUGCGGAGGUUUGUGUUAGCGUCGACAUGGCACAAAUGUAAAAAUGGACUCGACCUCCCUCUGUGGUGUUGUGCAUCCUCCUCGCGAGGUCACCCUGUUGGACGUGUGGUGUGGGACGCAGCUUUUGUGUCACCAAACCACCUCCAGCUUGUAUUCCUGAACAAUGGUCUCAAAUCAAGCAAGAGGACCCGCUGAACUUAA
rnacentral:misc_RNA from 1 species